rnacentral:rRNA from 1 species
AGAUUAAGUUAUUAAGGGCGCACGGUGGAUGCCUUGGCACUAGAAGCCGAUGAAGGACGUUACUAACGACGAUAUGCUUUGGGUAGCUGUAAGUAAGCGUUGAUCCAGAGAUUUCCGAAUGGGGGAACCCAGCAUGAGUUAUGUCAUGUUAUCGACAUGUGAAUUUAUAGCAUGUCAGAAGGCAGACCCGGAGAACUGAAACAUCUUAGUACCCGGAGGAAGAGAAAGAAAAAUCGAUUCCCUGAGUAGCGGCGAGCGAAACGGGAAGAGCCCAAACCAACAAGCUUGCUUGUUGGGGUUGUAGGACACUCUAUACGGAGUUACAAAAGAACAUGUUAGACGAAUCAUCUGGAAAGAUGAAUCAAAGAAGGUAAUAAUCCUGUAGUCGAAAACAUAUUCUCUCUUGAGUGGAUCCUGAGUACGACGGAGCACGUGAAAUUCCGUCGGAAUCUGGGAGGACCAUCUCCUAAGGCUAAAUACUCUCUAGUGACCGAUAGUGAACCAGUACCGUGAGGGAAAGGUGAAAAGUACCCCGGAAGGGGAGUGAAAGAGAACUUGAAACCGUGUGCUUACAAGUAGUCAGAGCCCGUUAAUGGGUGAUGGCGUGCCUUUUGUAGAAUGAACCGGCGAGUUACGAUCUGAUGCAAGGUUAAGCAGCAAAUGUGG